GUCUUUUUGGAGAUGUUUGAUGCAAUUGGAACGAUACAAACAAAAUUAGCAUAGCCCUAUAAAAAGAUGGCAUGCACAAAUUAGAAAGUGAUUUGAUUUUC
rnacentral:snRNA from 1 species